GACGAACGCUGGCGGCGUGCUUAACACAUGCAAGUCGAACGGAAAGGCCCGGGCUUGUUGGGGUACUCGAGUGGCGAACGGGUGAGUAACACGUGGGUAACCUGCCCUUCACUGUGGGAUAAGCUUAGGAAACUGGGUCUAUUACGGGAUAUGAUCUUUCGCCUUAUGGUGGGUGUUGGAAAGUUUUGCGGUUUGGGAGGGGACAGCCGCCUUUCGGCUUGUUGUGGGGGUUGUGGGCUACCAAGGCGACGACGGGUAGCCGGCCUGAGAGGGUGAUCGGCCACAUUGGGACUGAGCUACGGCCCAGCCUCCUACGGGAGGCAGCAGUGGGGAAUAUUGCACAAUGGGCGGAAGCCUGAUGCAGCGACGCCGCGUGAGGGAUGACGGCCUUCGGGUUGUAAACCUAUUUCCUCUGGGACGAAGCGUAAGUGACGGUACCGGGAGAAGAAGCACCGGCUAACUACGUG
rnacentral:rRNA from 1 species